CUAGGCCUAAUACUAUAUAGCGGUUCAAAGUUUUUAUUUUACACGAAUACACACUGAUAGAUUUUCUUAUAGAACCAAAUUUCACAUUUUUUAGAAUCUGGUCUAUUAUACUGUAUUUCUUGUUUUGAAAAGACAUUGAAGACAUGUACAUGACCUGAUUUUUUCCUUUAUAUAUUAUUAUAUUGAAGGUCAAUUGAGAGUUCAUGUAGACUAGAUUUCACACCCGGUUUGCUUCCUGUGACUUUCUAGUUUUCUACUUCGAAAUGUUUUACGUUCCGUCUAUACAAUAAAUAGAUUUAAAUAGAAAUGAUUGCUAGAUUGACUUCAAUGCCAAGUUAAUUUUGGGGAAAUUAUCGCCCCAUUUAUUUUAAUAAAAAGAAUAGCAGUUAUGAUAAUAGCAUUAGUCAACGUAUAUACAUACAAUGUUCGCAGAACUGUUUCAUACGUUAUCUUUUUUUCUAAGGGCUACUUUAAAGGACAAUCAGUGCAUUUUUAAUUUAUUUUAAGCUAUUAUAUUAACAAAAUUCAGUCCUUUGCUUUGAGUAGUACAUUUGCUAAGAGUUACUUAUUUCUCUUAUCCACAAAAUCAUUUUUUCGUGAAAUGUAGAACGUCAUAUUGCAAAUUUUUUAAAUAUUUCAGGUCUUCUCAAUGGGAGUAAGCUCGUCAAGGUAGAGUAUUAAGUGUGCCUUAUGACAAGGGGCAUUCAAUAACGCUUUUUCAAGGAGAGAUAUACAGUUUGCUACUCUCUGAUAUAGUAGCUUUUUAAUUCGGGAAAUGCGCAGAAGAGUAUCAUACAUCCUCAAAUUAUUGCUCCUCCAUAACCUAUUGGUGCAUGUUUUUCAUUGUUUUCUUUAAGGAUGGCCCAGAAAAUUGUCUGGUCUAUUCGUAAGAUAUUGUUAUUUACCGAAUAUCUAUUUCUUUACUUAGUUUUUCUAUUCUAGAGUAAUUUUGGUUGCCGCCAUUUCCACUUUGGUAUAAGCUUAUAGAAUCUUCAGUAAUCUGCUUGCACCACUAUUCUUCUUCAUGUUUUCCUCUAAUUAAGUUUCUACGGCAAUUGUAUAUCUAUGAUCAGUAUUUAGGGAUUUUGCGCCAUCAAAAGGACUAUUAUGCCAUAUAAUGGUGUUUUAUCGUUCCCACGUGUUUCAAUUUUGCUGUCCCUGCUCUGCUGUCUUUCCUUAUACGAAAGAAAAUCGUAUCAGUUAAUUCUAUUUUACUAUAUAUUCAAAUUAUUUACUUCUUAGAAGUUAGUCUUCUCAAUAGAAGGAACGAAAAGAGCACAUUAACUUCUUUCGAAUUCUAUUAAAAUGGCGGAUCAGUCGUUGUCAUUUCACUUUCCCUGAAAAUAAACUCAUUACAGGCGGAGAAGGCAAAUGUAGGAUUUGUUGUUAUAUGGACUGUUUUAUCAGAUUCUGCUUUUCAGCUUAGGAAUUAAUUGAUAUUCACCACACGCAAAUAUCAAAAUCAUUCCUGAACUUGCAGUCACAUCUGUACUGCUUUCAGGACCCCUGCACUUUCAUCAUAUUUGCUAAUGUCACAUUUGUUUGUUUCAUAUAUUGAAUAUUUACCGUAGGAUAUGUAACAAAAUGAUAGAGAUCAGCCUGUUCCCUUGGGCAAGUCCUAGCAAACAAUAAAAAAAUCUAUGAGUUUCAUUAAAAGUCAGUGAAAGUAACAUCAAAACUUUGCGAGUCAGAGAGAAGAUUAGUCUAAUAAUCACUAAAUCAUUAAAUUAUACUGACAAAGUUCAUCAUGUUAACUAUAAGUAUUUACUGAAGUAUAUAACAUGAGUAUUCUCACCAUCAUAAGCUUCAUCAUCACGAUAUGAGGUUGUAUAUUAGACUUCUCCGAAGGUGAAACGCUAAAUUCUGUACACCUGCUGACACUUUUUGGCUUCCACCCAUGUUGGAGAUUUGAAUUGUCGAAACCAAUCCUAAUGGAGUAAAAUUCAGGAAGAGCGCAUGCGUAGAGCUGCUGAAACAUCCAAUCGUCAACAACUUUGGGACUAUUCAGGAAUCGCUGGCUAUGAUGAUUGGCUAAAGUUUCCCAGAAUUCUGGGAUACUAAAGACCGAAAUCACGUGAUCAUCCUAAAACAACGUUUUUUCUCGAAGUUCUACGCUGCUUCUGCUGGAACUAAAAGCGGUAUUUUACCAGAUAUUCAAUUUAAAUUGAAAGUAAAUAUUCUCAUCGGCCUACCAGUGGAUGCGACUCUGAGAAAAUUACUGUUAGCAUCAAUGUAUACAAAUGUGAAAUACUAAGAUACCGUAAAAAAUUCACUUUUAUUAUUAUUGACGGAAAUCGAUAAACUACUGGUAGUGUCAUCUCCAUUGCAAUAUAUACUACAAACCAAUUGUUUACAUAGACUGAAAAGGAUUUGUAAAGCAUCCGAUUUGGUAUGCAAUUCAUUAAAUGAAUACUUAAUUAUCUCUUGUAACCAAUGAUUGAGUGGUCUUAAACAUGGAAGAAGAUGAGAAAAAAGAUGAAUCCGAUAAUUCGUGCAGCGAUUUGGAUAGCAUUCCAACUUCAUCCUCUUCAAGUCAAUCUUCUAUUGAUGAUCGGAUAGAAAUUCUUGAGGAUGAGUCUAAUGAUUCUUUCAAAUCUCUUAAGAGGAAGGCUGAUAGCGAGUCCGCGGACUUUGAUCAGAGUGGUCAAGAGGGUGAAGAUGUUGAUUGGUCAGAGAUUCCUUCAGAUAAACAACUAAAGAUUGACAAAUUAAAAAUAGCUAGAGUUGAACAGUCAAAAACCAAAUCUGGUGGCGUAUCUCAAAUUUUACCUCAAACCCAGAAUAUUUCGGUAGUUAAUUCAUUAAACAACCAAAAUAAAGGAACCUAUUUAAUAGUUCAACAACCUGGACAGUCGCCCAAUCGUUUACCCACCAGCGGAAUGUCUCUGCUUAGGCUUCCUGGAAACCAAGUUCCCGUACAAAAUCAAUUCCUUUUAGUUCCUGGUCCAACAAAUGUUCCAAAUCAAAGAAGACAAUUAUUACUAAUACCAACAACAGCAGCUGGAGGUCAACCAAAACUUGCUCCAAGAUUAGAGAAAGCAUCGACUGAUUCGGAGAAAAAGAGUCCUUGUAAAGUAGCACCAGAAAGUUUAUAUUUACCCAAGUCUAGUAGAAAAAAAGACAUGGAACAUUUUACAUCUUUAUUUCAUAAUUAUAUGGAAAAAAUUGGAGAAAAGCCAGAAAACGAUGGUAGCUUAUCAGCAUCAAAACCUUGUCGAAAGUGUACUUUUAGAUUCACCAACGAAUCAGCUUUAAAUCAGCAUGAAAAGCAUUCUUUCGAAUUAGGAUUAAUCUGUCAUCGUUGUGACAAAAUGUUAAUUGUUCAUAAUGUUUGUUCAAUAUUGUCUCAUUUAAAGGGCCAUCAUACUGACUGGAAAUCUGGAAUUUUACAAAUGUCAGUCAAAUGGCAUUUAGAUAGUGGUAUUUCUUCCCAAGACAACAAAUUAGAUAUAUCUUAUUUCUCUAAUACGGAUAAACCAUCAAUUAGAGGAAAAUGUCUGUACUGUAGUGCAACUGUUGAUGAUUUGAAAAGCCAUCUUAGAGGUGAACCAGAAGAGCAGGCAAGGAGUCAGUGUCCCCAUUGUCAACAAUUGUUUGGAUCAAAGUGUGCACUAAUAGCUCAUAUGAACACCUGCCAAUACGUGGGAAAAAGGGAAAAGAAGGAAAUUGAUGACAAUGUCUCUUCAUAUUCUUCCUGCCCAGAAUGCGGUCUCAUUGUUCGAGAUUUGGAAAUAUUAACAAAACAUUACUAUCUCACGUGCCAUCACAAUUCUAGAAGAAUGAAAUUUAUUUGUCAUUUUCCAGAUUGUGGAUCAUUGUUUGACGAUUUUUCUCAUUAUAUAGAUCAUCUAUCUUUCAAUCAUGACAGCCUUUUGCGGAAAUGUCCAUUGUGCCCGGUUGCAAUAAAAGUUCACGGUGAAACUCCUGUCGGAAGUAGAUUUGCAGAGCAUAUGACAAAUCACCAUAAGGAUCAUAAAGAUAUGAAUAUUGAAUCUACUACUAAAGCUUAUUCCUGUAUCUUCUGUCCUAAGAAGUUAUUUGUUCAGCGUCAUUCCUAUACAAUGCAUAUGGCAACUCAUGCUAAGCAAAAUUUAGUUGUAUUUUAUUCCUGCUAUAUUUGCCCUAAGGGUUUUCUUAGCUAUGAAGAUUUUCGUCAUCAUCUGAAGCAGACACAUGAUUUUCAACUUUGUCUCUUUAUGUGCCCAGUAUGCGGAUCAAAUUACGUUGAGCAGAAUGAGAAAUGCUUAAAAGAGCACGUGGCAACUUGUCCUAAAAAUAAAGAUGAAAAAGCUUUCACCUAUCCAAAGGUAAAAGAGUUUACUCACGAACAAUGCGAUUUCUGCUUAAUUGCUUUCCGUACAAAUGAUGCUUAUAAAAUUCAUAUGAAAGAGAAGCAUGAUGGAAUAUCUCAAGAUAUUCAACCGUAUCAACCGAUUUUAAAAGUAAAGCCAAUGGAGAAAAAGACCAAUAAACCUGCUACAGCAAGCAUGGAAAAAAUCGGUAAGAAAAUAUGUUUUGAAUGUGGCGAAAAAUAUUUAAGUUGGAGAGAACUUGGAGAACACGAAUCUACAUGUCACAAUAAAAAUUAUCCAGCAAUUUGUCAUUUAUGUAAUUCAUCAUUUUCUAAUAGAAACUAUUUGGAUGAACAUUUAUCAUUUGAACAUUUGGGAAGAGUUCGCCAACAAAUAACUCAAUUAAUUUGUAAUAUUUGCGGAAAAUCUAAAACAUUUGCCAAAAAGGACAAACUUCGCCAACAUUUAUUAACUUUUCAUGAUAAAAAUUUAACAAAGGAGGAAUUGGCGGAUUUUAUCGAGAAUGGCAAAGAAGAUUUGUCAACCAGUUUAUCAGCAAAUGAUGUUCGACUUUUAUCUUUUUCAAAAGGUAAAAGAAUUUGCGCAAGAUGCUCAUUUGAAACGAAAAAUUCAGAGGAUUUUAUUAUUCAUAUAAGGAAGCAUGCUGUUCAAACAAUUGAUCAUGUUGUUCAAUGUACUUAUUGUGGCUUAAAUUUCGUUGGAGUGGCGGGUUUAAAGCGACAUGUAUUUAUUGUUCAUGAUAUUGGAGAUAGUAUUGAUCUAAAAUCUACGUCAAAAGAGGAAAUUCCACAAAUGAUCUCUAGUCUAAUUGAUAGUAAUGAGAGUGAAAAGUGUAUGUCAGUGAAGAAAGAAGAAACUCUAUCUUGCAGAGAAUGUCAAGAGGAGUUUGAUGAUAAAGAUGUGUUGGCUAAGCAUUUGAGAAAACACGGAAUGGCCUUUAUUAAACAUACGUUAAGCUGAAUAAAAAGAAGCAAAUGCUUAAAUUUAGUCCAUAAACAAUAAAAUUUUCUUUUUCUCUUAAAGAGAGACAGAGAUAGAGAUAGAUGUAGAGAGAAAGAAAGACCAAGAAAGAGAGAGAAAGAGAGAAAAAUAUUUAUACCACCAAUUGAAUAAUAUAAAAAUAAGCUUUAUUAACUUCUUUUGAAACUGUAGAUAUGGAAAGACCUGUCCAAUAAUUGUGUUGCUAAAAACAAGGGAAAUAAUAUUCACGCUUAAUUUUAAUAAAUUCCUAUAAAUUAUUCAAUUUAUUUAAAUAAUUAAUGAAAAAUUGUAUAUAGUUUAUUUUGUUUUCUUUAAACUUGAUGGCUAAGUUAGUUAUCGUUUAGUUUUAAUAGUUACACUUGUAAUGUUUAUAUUUGAAAUAUUUUUAAUAAUAAAAGAAUAAAUGAAAUUAAUUGGCCAUUUAAUCAAAUCUUAAAGUUAUGGUUAUUUUCUUUUAUAUAUCUGUCAACUAUUAGAGAGUUUUUGUUACACAUUUCAGGAGUUUGAUUCUGUUACUAUACCCUUUUUC
rnacentral:misc_RNA from 1 species